CUCUCUCUGUCCCUCCCUCACUCCCUCCCUCCCUCCCUCCCUCCCUCCACUCCCUUCCUUCUGAAUAAGUAAAUAAAAUCUUAAAAAAGAAAAAAAUAGCCAGGCUCAUUUCAGGACAGAAUUAUUUUCUUUUCCCUCACCAAAACAUGUAUUCUCACGCCUUGUACGUUUCCUACACAUCUCCUACUUGUCACACACGGAAUUGUUUUCCUUCUCGUUCUCCAGUAGUCUCCAUUCCAUUGGCAGGCUUUUGCAAAAUUGUAAUAUAUUAACUUCCUUUCAGAGAGAGAGCACUGUGUGAAGGGGGGAAGGGGGAGGAGGAGGAGGAGGGAGAGGGAGAGAGUGGGAGACCGAGCAUCUUUCCUUUUUUACACUAUUUGGUUUCUUUAUUCCUGUGUGUGAGAGAGAGACAGAGACAGAGACAGAGACAUGGGCAGAAGCAGGUCCCCCCCCCCCCCCCCCCCCCCCCGCAAGGAGACGGAUGCAGGAAAGGAUCCCAGACCCGCAUGAUCGGGAACGAACGAACAGAACUUCAUCCCAGAUCGUGGGAACUUGUGAAAUAUUGGCACUCCUCCUUAUCGCUCCGAGCUGUCCUGUUCCGAUGAUGUUUACCCGCGCCAGCCUUUGAACUCCUAACCUACAGUUCCUUUUUUUUUUUUUUUUUUAAUUUUUAUUUAUUUAUGAUAGUCACACAGAGAGAGAGAGAGAGAGAGGCAGAGACAUAGGCAGAAGGAGAAGCAGGCUCCAUGCACCGGGAGCCCGACGUGGGAUUCGAUCCCGGGUCUCCAGGAUCGCGCCCUGGGCCAAAGGCAGGCGCCAAACCGCUGCGCCACCCAGGGAUCCCAUAAGCUACAGUUCCUUUACAAAGGGAUGUUAGCAAUAUAGCAUCCGGAGGUAGAGGAAACCUCUCCCUCGUAGAACCCACAGGGACACGUAGACACAGACGAGACGCCAACAAAGUAUAUAGCCUUGGUCUCACUCCUAUCUAUCUGUGGAGAGGUCACGAAAGACCCGAUGUUCCGAUCUCCCCGGUCUCUCCCCCGCCCCCAAAAGCCACCGGGGGCGGGGCCGGCCGGAUCCCCUCGCUUCCGAGGAACACCCCCGGGAGCCACCACCUCGCCUCGCCUUAGGAGAAAACACCCGGCCGGCCGACCCCCGGCCCUCCCCACAACCGCGACCCGGGCCCCGCCUCGCCACGGAGGGCGGGGGGGGCCCGCAGCGGGAAGCGGGGCGUGAGCGGGCAGGGCCAGGGGAGGGGGGCGGCGGGGGCGGCGACGGAGAAGGGGAGAGCCGGACCCGGGCCCCGAGGCCCCAGAGGCGGGGGGUGGGCCGGGGUGGGAGAGGGAGAGGCGACGAGCGGGAGGGCGGAGAUGGCGCGGACGCCCGCCUGACCGGAGGACCGUCCAGGGCGGGCGGCGGGAGGCGCGCGCCGGGGGCACCCCCGUGCGGGGCGACGCGGCGACCGGGGAACGACCGGCGCCGGAAGGCGAAAGGCGGGCCGCGGAAGGGACACGGUGGGGGGGGGGCCGGGACGGCGACGUCCGAGAAAGGGAGGCGGGCGCGGGGCCCGUCUCCCCCCCCACGACACGCCGUCGUCGCCGACGACACCCCCUCCCUUCCCCUCCCGGCGGGCGCCCGACCGACCGACGCCAGGCCCGCCCACCGCCACCGCCGCGCUUCCACCGCGCCUCCCGGCGGCGGGCGCGGCCCCUUCCUUCCCCCUGCCUCCUCCUCACGCGGCCCCGUCCUCGCCCCACGGACGGACACGCACACACGCGCUCCCGCUCUCUCACGUCCCUCGCGGCCAGCGGGCCGGCACCGCGCCGGCCCGCCCGCACCGCACGGGGGAAGGCUUCGCGGGCGAGCGGACGGACGGGAAGGACGGGGCGCCUCCGCCGCCGCCGCCGCCGCCGCGUUCUCCGUUAAUGAUCCUUCCGCAGGUUCACCUACGGAAACCUUGUUACGACUUUUACUUCCUCUAGAUAGUCAAGUUCGACCGUCUUCUCAGCACUCCGCCAGGGCCGUGGGCCGACCCCGGCGGGGCCGAUCCGAGGGCCUCACUAAACCAUCCAAUCGGUAGUAGCGACGGGCGGUGUGUACAAAGGGCAGGGACUUAAUCAACGCAAGCUUAUGA
rnacentral:lncRNA from 12 species